rnacentral:rRNA from 1 species
CGAACGCUGGCGGCAGGCUUAACACAUGCAGGUCGAACGCGUGUAGCAAUACACGAGUGGCGCACGGGUGAGUAACGCGUGGAUAUCUGCCUUUUGGUUCGGAAUAACUCCGGGAAACUGGAGCUAAUACCGGAUGGUUCCUACGGGAUAAAGAUUUAUCGCCAAAAGAUGAGUCCGCGUACGAUUAGCUAGUUGGUGAGGUAAUGGCUCACCAAGGCGACGAUCGUUAGCUGGUCUGAGAGGACGAUCAGCCACACUGGGACUGAGACACGGCCCAGACUCCUACGGGAGGCAGCAGUGGGGAAUUUUUCCGCAAUGGGCGAAAGCCUGACGGAGCAAUACCGCGUGAGGGAUGAAAGCCUGUGGGUUGUAAACCCUCUUUUUUACAGGGGAGGAAUAAAUUGACGUGUACCUGAAGAAUAAGCAUCGGCUAACUCCGUGCCAGCA